ACCCUUAGAGGGGGAAGCAGCGGAUGCAGAGCCACAGCUGGUGCUCAACACGGGGCACAACCAGCUGACAUAACCCACAGCUGGUACCCACGGGAAUCCAACAGGACCUCUGGGUUGAGCAAAAAGGGGCCCUACUAUGUUUUCCACAGGAGUCAACUCAUGGAUUCAGAUACUCUGAAAGGACAUCUGACCUGAUGCCUCCAGUCCAGAGCCACUCUCUGGUGUUAAUGAAAGGAAAUAAAACUUGAGACAUGUGAUUCAUGUAAUUUAUGUCAAAUAGCCCAAAGAGUUGCUUGUGAGCUUUAAAACCUGGGGCUGAGAACAUAGCAGAACAGGCCAGGACAUGCCAGGCAGGCUCAUCAUUACAUGUCCUGACUGACCUAGUGCCUCCCUAUCUCCCGCCCUUCUGACAGUCUGUUGAUGUUUAAAUGAACCAAUCAUGUGAAACGGCGCCAAUUCCUCCCCUAGCCCCACCCCUUUUCUAUAAAAACCCCUAGCUUCCAAGCCUCGUGGUAAGCCUCGUGGUGGAAACCACUGUCUCCUGUGUGAGAUAUGUUUUGAACUGGAGCUCCGCCAUUAUGGCUCCACCAUGUGGUCAACACCUCUGUCUCCUGCUGGAGAUAUGUGUCAGCCCGGAACUCCGUCAUAAAGUACCUCAUGCUUUUACGUC
rnacentral:lncRNA from 1 species